CCCUUAGAUGUUCUGGGCCGCACGCGCGCUACACUGAUGCAUUCAACGAGUCUAAAACCUGCUCUGAUAGGGGUGGGUAAUCUUUUGAAUGUGCAUCGUGAUUGGGAUAGAUGAUUGCAAUUUUUCAUCUUCAACGAGGAAUGCCUAGUAAACGCAAGUCAUCAGCUUGCAUUGAUUACGUCCCUGCCCUUUGUACACACCGCCCGUCGCUCCUACCGAUUGAAUGAUCCGAUGAAUAUCAUGGAUUGAGGAUGCAAGUAGGUUAGCCUAUCUUCAUCUUCGAGAAGUGAAGUAAAGCUUAUCAUUUAGAGGAAGGAGAAGUCGUAACA
rnacentral:rRNA from 1 species